CACUGUGUGGUGUAGUGGUUUGAGCAUUGGACUCUGACUCUGAAGACCAGGGUUCAAAUCCUGUCUCAGCCA